GCGAGUGUGCCGGAAUUGGCAGACGGGCAUGGUUGAGGGCCAUGUGUCUCAUGGACGUGCGGGUUCAAGUCCCGCCACUCGCA
rnacentral:tRNA from 1 species